rnacentral:rRNA from 1 species
UACGGAGGGGGCUAGCGUUGUUCGGAAUUACUGGGCGUAAAGCGCACGUAGGCGGCUUUGCAAGUUAGAGGUGAAAGCCCGGGGCUCAACUCCGGAAUUGCCUUUAAAACUGCAUCGCUAGAAUUGUGGAGAGGUAAGUGGAAUUCCGAGUGUAGAGGUGAAAUUCGUAGAUAUUCGGAAGAACACCAGUGGCGAAGGCGACUCACUGGACAUGUAUUGACGCUGAGGUACGAAAGCGUGGGGAGCAAACAGG